CUGCCUGCUGAUGUUACCACUUUGGACACCAGUCGUGUCUGAGAAUCAAGCACAUUCUCGGUGUCUGAGAUGGCAUUUGUUUUGUUUCUGUUUCGUCUUUACAGUUUCAGUUGGACAGAGAACUUCUGAAUCACCAGUUUCCUCAUGUCACGUUGGCUUUGGUGAGAAGUCGUUGUUAACUCACCCUCUGUUUUCUGCAGGGACUGAGGUGACGGAGGCAAACUGUUAACCAAUCUGUCCCACAGUGGGCGCUUCCUCUGGUGCUCAGGACUCUCGCCGGUGAGCCGUAUGGCAGGUCAUGGUGGGUCCUUCUCAUGAGAGAUGCCUUCAUUGGCUACAUCGAGGCAUUUCACUAGCCUGGCAGACAAGCCCCGAGGGCACAGUAAACCAAGAACUGCUCAACUGUCGACGAACGACGGUAAAUAUUUUCAUGGUAGCGCUUGAAUACGCUCCCAAAUAUCAUAUUUAGAACGUCAUAACUUAGCGAUGGUAUGAGGUAGAAAUGACAUUUUCCACUUCCACUGAGAAUCGGUGCCUUCCAAAAAGCCAUUGUUUGUCCGUGUUCGUCAUUUACUUCAGUAACAAACUGAUGCUUAUGGUUGGAAAACAUUUGGUUCAUCCCACCUUUUACCCGGCGCAGUACAGCAAGCCAUUUGUACCAUGGAUGUAUUCCUUGAUCCAGACGUUAUCGGUAUUCUACCUUCCCGUUGGCUUGCGUGUGUUAUGAUUGGUCGCGUCGUAUGUCGUCAUCGACCAUGGGAGGAGCGCAAAGAGGCAGAGAAACGAAGUCGGAAAACUGAUGUGAACCAACGUUUGAGCCCUUACUUCGGUUUGUCAGUACUUACUUAAUUACCGAAGAAGCCUGGAUGCUAAAACAAGCUUUGACGGUGUUUUUUGUCUAAACGAGUGAGGCUGGACGCUGAACACACCUGCGGCGCAAAGGUGUCACCACUUCAUCCACGACAUCAUCCAUGAUCGCAGAGACGUCAUCCAUGAUCAGAUAGACAUUGUUGAGGAUGAGAGAGACAUUGUCCACGAUCAGAGACAUUGUCAUCAAUCGCAAAGAUCUCGUCAGAGAUGAAAGAAACAUUGUCCAUGAUCAGAGACUUUGUCCAUGAUUGGCAGAGACCUGUGCAAAAGUCGGUAGUGACAGAGUUCCCCAAUUUGACGGCAUCGCCCGUGUUCAGAGAGACAUUGUUGAUGAUCACAGAGACACCGUCCACAAUCACAAAGAAAUUGUCCAUGAUCGCAGAGACAUUGUCCAUGAUCAGAGAAACAUCAUCUACGAUCGCAGAGAGUCUUCGUAAAAUGAAGUUCUUUGAGACCAGGCCUCCAGGUGUCACCACCUCAUCCACGAAAUUGUCCACGAUUGCAGAAGCGCCAUCCAUGAUCACAGAGACGUCGUUCACGAUCGCAGAAGCACCAUCCAUGAUCAGAGACAUUGUCCAUGACUCACAGAGACGUGCAAGAAUCGGUGGUGACGGGGGGUCCCCGAUUUGACUGCAUUGUCCGCGAUUGACAUUGUUGAUGAUCACAGAGGCCGUGUCCAUAAUCUCAGAAACAUUGUCCACAAUCACAGAGACGUAGUCCACAAUCGUAGAGAUGUCGUCCACGAUCACAAAGAAUCUUGGUACAAUGAAGAAGUUCUUUGAGACCAAGACAGAGGCCUCCAGGAGGAGAAGAUGACGGCAGCCGAAGACCUGAAGUGGAUGAAAGAAAACAAGAGUUACAAAGCUGUUAAUUAGAUAAAUGAGAUAAAAGACCUCCACCAUCCAACUGCUGUAAACAGUUUCCUGUUGUUCAAGUGAAAACACGUUUUUUUCUCUACCAUCUGUAAUGUAGUCAUGGGUACAUUUUCCAAAGACUAAUAUGUCUUUAUUAAACACCUGUGAGAACAUUCAGCUGCUUAUGAUACAACUAUGUAAUAAUUGUAUCACAAGCAGUUAAAUGAUCACAAAGAUGCUCAGUAGACAUGUUCAUCUUUGGAAAAUGUGCUCUUAACUACAUUAGCUCUAACAAGUGUUUCCUUGUGGUCAAAUGUUUGUCUUUAUCUUUGCUGUGAUUUGUUAAAUGUUACCUGGGAUAAAAUCAUUAAAAGUGUCCUAAACUUUUGCACUGUAUAUUAAGAAGUUAAAAAACCACCAAAAAUGUUAUAGUAUAGUUGCAUUUCUCUAUUUUGAGACUGAGGUUAUACAAAUCAAUUUAUUGCAUUCUAUUUAUAUUUAUUUUUUGAUUACUUUUUGACAUUUUUUUUUAUACUAUGAUAUUAUUUUGACAUUUUUGAUGCUUUACUAUAACUUCACAUUUUUAGUUCUAUUUUGGAUUACUAUUACUUCUGCAUUGCCUCUAUAUUACAGAUUACUUUUACUGUUACCUCUAAUAUUACUUUUACAUUACAUAUUACUUUUCUUUACAUAUUACUUCUAAAUUUACAGGUAACUUUUACUGUUCCAAACUGCAUCUAGUAACAGAUUACUUUGACCAUUAGAUCUUACUUCUGAUAUUGCUAAUUAAUACUAAAUAUAAAUAAUAAUAAAACUUUUCUGAUAUACUGAAUACUAAACAUAAACAACUCUGUGUUGGGCAGUUGAUGUAAA